GGUCAAGCUACUAAGGGCGCAUGGUGGAUGCCUUGGCGUCGGGAGCCGAUGAAGGACGCAGCGAGCUGCGAUAAGCCUCGGGUAGCCGCAAGCAGGCGUCGAUCCGGGGAUAUCCGAAUGGGGCAACCCACCGCGGGUAAUGCCGCGGUAUCGGCCGGUGAACCCAUAGCCGGUCGAGGGCAACCGGGGGAACUGAAACAUCUAAGUACCCCGAGGAAAAGACAUCAACCGAGAUUCCGCAAGUAGUGGCGAGCGAACGCGGAGGAGCCCAAACCCGGGGAGUGUCAAGGCCACGACCGUUGCUCUCCGGGGGUUGUGGGGCCGUGCCGGGCCGCGUCGUGGGGCGGCCGGGGAGUCGAGAAAACGCACGUCUAGCCGAAGUGACCUGGAAAGGUCCGCCGUAGGAGGUAACAGCCCUGUAGGCGAAAGGCGAGGCGUCUCCCUGGGCAGGGUACCCGAGUACCACGGGACACGUGGAAUCCCGUGGGAAGCCGGGAGGACCACCUUCCAAGGCUAAAUACUCCCCGACGACCGAUAGUGGACCAGUACCGUGAGGGAAAGGUGAAAAGAACCGCGGGAGCGGAGUGAAAUAGAACCUGAAACCAUGCGCCUACAAGCAGUUGGAGGGUGCGAGCCGGAAGGCUCGGCCUGACAGCGUGCCUAUUGAAGAAUGAACCGGCGAGUUACGCUACGUAGCGAGGUUAAGGGCCUGGAGGUCCGGAGCCGUAGCGAAAGCGAGUCCGAACAGGGCGACAAGUUGCGUGGCGUAGACCCGAAGCCGCGUGAGCUACCCAUGGCCAGGGUGAAGCGGAGGUAAGACUUCGUGGAGGCCCGAACCCGUCGGUGUUGAAAAACCGUGGGAUGAGCUGUGGGUAGAGGUGAAACGCCAACCGAACGCGGAGAUAGCUGGUUCUCCCCGAAAUAGCUUUAGGGCUAGCCUCAAGGCGUGUGUCGCGGGGGUAGAGCACUGGUUGGGCUAGGGGCCCCACAAGGUUACCGAACCCAUUCAAACUCCGAAUCCCGUGACAUGGACCUUGGGAGUCAGACUACGGGGGAUAAGCUCCGUGGUCAAAAGGGGAACAGCCCAGACCGUCAGCUAAGGUCCCCAAGUACAGGCUAAGUGUUAAGUAAAAGGAUGUGGCGAGGCCGAGACAACCAGGAUGUUGGCUUAGAAGCAGCCAUCAUUUAAAGAGUGCGUAAUAGCUCACUGGUCAAGUGUCGCCGCGCCGAAAAUGUAGCGGGGCUCAAGCCUGUCACCGAAGCUACGGACUCCCGUAAGGGGAGUGGUAGGGGAGCGUUCCGCUUGCGGCGAAGCCGGGUCGUGAGGCACCGGUGGAGCGGGCGGAAGUGAGAAUGCCGGUAUGAGUAGCGAAAAGGCCGGUGAGAAUCCGGCCCGCCGAAAGCCUAAGGUUUCCUGAGGAAGGCUCGUCCGCUCAGGGUUAGUCGGGACCUAAGCCGAGGCCUAAGGGCGUAGGCGAUGGACAACGGGUUGAUAUUCCCGUACCGCCGUGUCGCCGUUACGAGCGAUGGGGUGACGCAGGAGGGUAGGCGUAGCCGGCCGUUGGUCGUGCCGGUCCAAGCCCGUAGGGAGCCUCGCCAGGCAAAUCCGGUGAGGCGAUCCUGAGGGGUGAUGGGGAGGGAAACUCCAAGUACCGAACUUGCCGAUCCCACGCUGCCGAGAAAAACCUCUAGCCAGGCGACCGGCGCCCGUACCGCAAACCGACACAGGUAGGCAGGGAGAGCAUCCUAAGGCGCGCGGGAGAACCCUCGUUAAGGAACUCGGCAAAAUGACCCCGUAACUUCGGGAUAAGGGGUGCCCUGCGGGGUGAGGGGGCUUGCCCCCCGAGCCCGGUGGGGCCGCAGAGAAACGGCCCAAGCGACUGUUUAACAAAAACACAGGUCCCUGCUAAGGAGAAAUCCGACGUAUAGGGGCUGACGCCUGCCCAGUGCCGGAAGGUUAAGGGGAGGGGUUAGGGGGAGACCCCGAAGCUCCGAGCCGAAGCCCCGGUGAACGGCGGCCGUAACUAUAACGGUCCUAAGGUAGCGAAAUUCCUAGUCGGGUAAGUUCCGACCCGCACGAAAGGCGUAACGACUUGGGCACUGUCUCGACGAGAGGCCCGGUGAAAUUGCAGGCCCUGUGCAGAUGCAGGGUCCCGACGACGGGACAGAAAGACCCCGUGGAGCUUGACUGUAGCCUGUCAUGGCCCCGCCUGGCGUGCUGUACAGGAUAGGUGGGACGCGGCGAAGCCGGCUCGGCAGGGCCGGGGGAGCGGUCGGUGGGAUACCACCCUGGACGGCAGGCGCGGCUAACCGGUUGGGGUCCACCCCCGCCGGGACCGUGGCAGGGGGGCAGUUUGACUGGGGCGGUCGCCUCCCAAACGGUAACGGAGGCGCCCCAAGGUUCCCUCAGCACGCUUGGACACCGUGCAGGGCGUGUAAAGGCACAAGGGAGCUUGACUGCGAGCGCGACGGCGCGAGCAGGGGCGAAAGCCGGGCUUAGUGAUCCGGUGGGACUGCGUGGCAGGCCCAUCGCGCAACGGACAAAAGUUACCCCGGGGAUAACAGGCUGAUCUCUCCCAAGAGUCCACAUCGACGGGGAGGUUUGGCACCUCGAUGUCGGCUCAUCGCAUCCUGGGGCUGGAGUCGGUCCCAAGGGUUCGGCUGUUCGCCGAUUAAAGCGGUACGUGAGCUGGGUUCAGAACGUCGUGAGACAGUUCGGUCCCUCUCCGUCGUCGGCGGCGGACACUUGCGGGGGGCUGUCCCUAGUACGAGAGGACCGGGAUGGACGGACCGCUGGUGUACCAGUUGUCCCGCCCGGGGCACACGCUGGGUAGCCAGGUCCGGUUGGGCGAAGCGCUGACCGCAUCUAAGCGCGAACCCCACCCCAAGAUGAGGUGUCCAGCAGGGGCGCGACCCCUGGAGAGACCCCCGGACGACCACCGGGUAGAUAGGCCCUACGUGGCAGCGCGGCAACGCGUGGAGCGGAGGGGUCCUAAUCGGUCGAGAUCUUCCUCCU
rnacentral:rRNA from 1 species